rnacentral:rRNA from 1 species
UCGAGAAUCUUCGGCAAUGGACGCAAGUCUGACCGAGCGAUGCCGCGUGCGGGAUGAAGGCCUUCGGGUUGUAAACCGCUGUCAGUUGGGAGGAAAUGCCAUGGGGUUCUCUCCAUGGUUUGACCUAUCUUCAGAGGAAGGACGGGCUAAGUUCGUGCCAGCAGCCGCGGUAAGACGAACCGUCCAAACGUUAUUCGGAAUUACUGGGCUUAAAGGGUGCGUAGGCGGUGCGGUAAGUUGGAUGUGAAAUCCCACGGCUCAACCGUGGAACUGCGUUCAAUACUGCCGUGCUUGAGGGAGACAGAGGCGAGCGGAACUGAUGGUGGAGCGGUGAAAUGCGUUGAUAUCAUCAGGAACACCCGUGGCGAAAGCGGCUCGCUGGGUCUCUUCUGACGCUGAGGCACGAAAGCUAGGGGAGCGAACGGGAUUAGAUACCCCCGUAGUCC